UUUUGUACAACCCAUACAUGGGAUAUUGGCGAUUGAUUGAGUGGUGUAAUAUCUUUUAAAAGAGGAGGGUCACAUCAUCCUUUGGGUGAUGGCCACAGGAGGAUUGGGUUUUGUGUUUGUUGUGGCUGAAGUUACAUAGUUAGAUCAUGGAGUCGGGUGGAGACUCUAAUACCCAACAAAGGCUAGUUGAAGCCUUAGAGAGUAGUAAUGCCCAACUCGGCCGAGUGUUUGAAAAUGUGAUGAAUACUUUGGCCGAUAUGAGAAGGGGGAGUAAUGCCAAUACCGAGAGAUUGGAAAGAAGAUUUACUGAAAGAGAGAGUGAUGCGAGUGAUGGGUUGAGGAAAAAUAUGAGGGAGACAAAAAAGAGAGGAGGAAGAGUAGAAAGAGGAGAAGAAAUAGUUGAUAGAUGGGCCAAUGGUAUCCCUGAGGAGGAUUGGUGCAGGGGUUU
rnacentral:lncRNA from 1 species